CAGCCGCCGCGGUAAUACGUAGGGGGCAAGCGUUAUCCGGAAUUACUGGGUGUAAAGGGAGCGUAGACGGUUAAACAAGUCUGAAGUGAAAUGCCGGGGCUCAACCCCGGAGCUGCUUUGGGAACUGUAGCACUGGAGUGUCGGAGGGGUAAGCGGAAUUCCCAGUGUAGCGGUGAAAUGCGUAGAUAUUGGGAGGAACACCGGCGGCGAAGGCGGCUUACUGGACGACAACUGACGUUGAGGCUCGAAGGCGUGGGUAGCAAACAGGAUUAGAUACCCCGGUAGUCCCUGUCUCUUAUAC
rnacentral:rRNA from 1 species